CAACCCUGUCCUUAGUUACCAGCACGUUAUGGUGGGCACUCUAAGGAGACUGCCGGUGACAAACCGGAGGAAGUGGGGAUGACGUCAAGUCAUCAUGGCCCUUACGGCCUGGGCUACACACGUGCUACAAUGGUCGGUACAAAGGGUUGCCAAGCCGCGAGGUGGAGCUAAUCCCAUAAAACCGAUCGUAGUCCGGAUCGCAGUCUGCAACUCGACUGCGUGAAGUCGGAAUCGCUAGUAAUCGUGAAUCAGAAUGUCACGGUGAAUACGUUCCCGGGCCUU
rnacentral:rRNA from 1 species